rnacentral:rRNA from 1 species
GGAGGAAGGUGGGGAUGACGUCAAGUCCUCAUGGCCCUUAUGGGUAGGGCUUCACACGUCAUACAAUGGUCGGUACAGAGGGUUGCCAAGCCGCGAGGUGGAGCCAAUCCCAGAAAGCCGAUCGUAGUCCGGAUCGCAGUCUGCAACUCGACUGCGUGAAGUCGGAAUCGCUNGUAAUCGCGGAUCAGCAUGUCGCGGUGAAUACGUUCCCGGGUCUGGUACACACCGCCCGUCCCACCAUGGGAGUGG